rnacentral:rRNA from 1 species
GACGAACGCUGGCGGCGUGCUUAACACAUGCAAGUCGAACGCUGAAGACCUGGCUUUUGUUGGGUUGGAUGAGUGGCGAACGGGUGAGUAACACGUGAGUAACCUGCCCUCUUCUUUGGGAUAACGCCCGGAAACGGGUGCUAAUACUGGAUAUUCACUGAUCUUCGCAUGGGGGUUGGUGGAAAGGUUUGUUCUGGUGGGGGAUGGGCUCGCGGCCUAUCAGCUUGUUGGUGGGGUGAUGGCCUACCAAGGCUUUGACGGGUAGCCGGCCUGAGAGGGUGACCGGUCACAUUGGGACUGAGAUACGGCCCAGACUCCUACGGGAGGCAGCAGUGGGGAAUAUUGAACAAUGGGCGAAAGCCUGAUGCAGCGACGCCGCGUGAGGGAUGGAGGCCUUCGGGUUGUAAACCUCUUUCGCUCAUGGUCAAGCCGCAACUGUGGGUUGUGGUGAGGGUAGUGGGUAAAGAAGCGCCGGCUAACUACGUG